AGGGAAGAGCCCAAGAUUGAAAGCUGGCGUCUUCGGCGUCCGCAUUGUAAUCUCAAGAAGUGUUUUCCGCUUCGGACCAAGCCUAAGUCCCCUGGAAAGGGGCAUCAUAGAGGGUGAUAAUCCCGUACAUGGCUUGGAGCGCCCGAGGCUUUGUGAUACGCUUUCUAAGAGUCGAGUUGUUUGGGAAUGCAGCUCAAAAUGGGUGGUAAAUGCCAUCUAAGGCUAAAUAUUGGGGAGAGACCGAUAGCGAACAAGUACAGUGAUGGAAAGAUGAAAAGAACUUUGAAAAGAGAGUUAAACAGUACGUGAAAUUGCCAAAAGGGAAGGGUAGGAGGUCAGAGAUGCGGCCUGGGAUUCAGCCUUGCUUUUGCUUGGUGUUUUUCCCAGAUUGCAGGCCAACGUCGGUUUUGGGCACUGGAGAAGGGUAGGAGGAACGUGGCACCCCUCGGGGUGUGUUAUAGCCUCCUACUGGAUACAGCGACCGAGACCGAGGACAGCAGCGUACUCGCAAGAGCGGGCCUUCGGGCACCUUUACGCUUAGGGCGUUGGCAUAAUGGCCCUCUACCAC
rnacentral:rRNA from 1 species